GUCUUGCUGUCACUUAUAGAUGGAUCCGCGCUGCAUUAGCUAGUUGGUAAGGUAACGGCUUACCAAGGCAACGAUGCAUAGCCGACCUGAGAGGGUGAUCGGCCACACUGGAACUGAGACACGGUCCAGACUCCUACGGGAGGCAGCAGUAGGGAAUCUUCCGCAAUGGGCGAAAGCCUGACGGAGCAACGCCGCGUGAGUGAUGAAGGUCUUCGGAUCGUAAAACUCUGUUAUUAGGGAAGAACAUAUGUGUAAGUAACUGUGCACAUCUUGACGGUACCUAAUCAGAAAGCCACGGCUAACUACGUGCCAGCAGCCGCGGUAAUACGUAGGUGGCAAGCGUUAUCCGGAAUUAUUGGGCGUAAAGCGCGCGUAGGCGGUUUUUUAAGUCUGAUGUGAAAGCCCACGGCUCAACCGUGGAGGGUCAUUGGAAACUGGAAAACUUGAGUGCAGAAGAGGAAAGUGGAAUUCCAUGUGUAGCGGUGAAAUGCGCAGAGAUAUGGAGGAACACCAGUGGCGAAGGCGACUUUCUGGUCUGUAACUGACGCUGAUGUGCGAAAGCGUGGGGAUCAAACAGGAUUAGAUACCCUGGUAGUCCACGCCGUAAACGAUGAGUGCUAAGUGUUAGGGGGUUUCCGCCCCUUAGUGCUGCAGCUAACGCAUUAAGCACUCCGCCUGGGGAGUACGACCGCAAGGUUGAAACUCAAAGGAAUUGACGGGGACCCGCACAAGCGGUGGAGCAUGUGGUUUAAUUCGAAGCAACGCGAAGAACCUUACCAAAUCUUGACAUCCUUUGACAACUCUAGAGAUAGAGCCUUCCCCUUCGGGGGACAAAGUGACAGGUGGUGCAUGGUUGUCGUCAGCUCGUGUCGUGAGAUGUUGGGUUAAGUCCCGCAACGAGCGCAACCCUUAAGCUUAGUUGCCAUCAUUAAGUUGGGCACUCUAAGUUGACUGCCGGUGACAAACCGGAGGAAGGUGGGGAUGACGUCAAAUCAUCAUGCCCCUUAUGAUUUGGGCUACACACGUGCUACAAUGGACAAUACAAAGGGCAGCGAAACCGCGAGGUCAAGCAAAUCCCAUAAAGUUGUUCUCAGUUCGGAUUGUAGUCUGCAACUCGACUACAUGAAGCUGGAAUCGCUAGUAAUCGUAGAUCAGCAUGCUACGGUGAAUACGUUCCCGGGUCUUGUACACACCGCCCGUCACACCACGAGAGUUUGUAACACCCGAAGCCGGUGGAGUAACCUUUUAGGAGCUAGCCGUCGAAGGUGGGACAAAUGAUUGGGGUGAAGUCGUAACAAGGUAGCCGUAUCGGAAGGUGCGGCUGGAUCACCUCCUUUCUAAGGA
rnacentral:rRNA from 1 species